GCACAAUGGGCGCAAGCCUGAUGCAGCCAUGCCGCGUGUAUGAAGAAGGCCUUCGGGUUGUAAAGUACUUUCAGCAGUGAGGAAGGUGGGUAUGUUAAUAGCAUACUCAUUUGACGUUAGCUGCAGAAGAAGCACCGGCUAACUCCGUGCCAGCAGCCGCGGUAAUACGGAGGGUGCGAGCGUUAAUCGGAAUUACUGGGCGUAAAGCGCAUGCAGGUGGUUGUUAAGUCAGAUGUGAAAGCCCGGGGCUCAACCUCGGAAUUGCAUUUGAAACUGGCAAACUAGAGUACUGUAGAGGGGGUAGAAUUUCAGGUGUAGCGGUGAAAUGCGUAGAGAUCUGAAGGAAUACCGGUGGCGAAGGCGGCCCCCUGGACAGAUACUGACACUCAGAUGCGAAAGCGUGGGGAGCAAACAGGAUUAGAUACCCUGGUAG
rnacentral:rRNA from 1 species